ACUCUGCAAAGAAAGAUCUACAGUUGAUAGUCACACCCAUAAACACUUAAAGAUGUGUGGUUAUUUUUGCUGAUGGUAGUUUCACUUCACGUUACCACAGAGCAGCUUCACUUCAGAUCAUUUCUCAUUGUAUUACUGAACCAGUUAUGAAGAGUUUGUCUUUUCAUAUUUGUGGACUGAAACCGUUGAAGAUGUUUGAGAUUUUUGUUCUGUUUGUGUCUGUGGCGUCUGGUAGGUGUGUUUGCUGAUACAGACACAGUGAAGUCAGUGUCAGUGAGGGAGGGGAGAUUCUGUCACUCUACAGAUUCAUGUCACUGAAAUACAGAAAGAUGAUAGGAUCGACUGGAAAUUCGGAACUAACAAUAUUGUUAUAGCUAGAAUUAGGACGAAGACCAGUGAGAUAUUUAAUGGUACUGAUGGGAGAUUCAGAGACAGACUGAAGCUGGAUCAGACUGGAUCUCUGAUCAUCACAAACACCAGAACCACACACUCUGGACUUUAUGAAGUGAAGAUCAGGAGCAGCAGUAGACCAGAGGAUACACACAGAUUCAGUCUUACUGUCUACGCCGCUACAACACCAGGCCUACACCAGACUCCUUCACAGUCUCCUUCAGGUUCUCCUUCAGAUCCUCAUUCACCUCCUUCAGUCUUAGGAUCUCAGAUAGUGCUGAUCUCUGGUGAUUGUGGUUGUAAUGGUGAUGUUUUGUAUCUGCUGGAAACACAGAGUCUCAGUUCAUGAAGACGAGACUCAAGCUGCUGUAAAACUCUACAAACACACUGAACUGAUGAAGGAAUCUGAAGUGACUGAAGUGAUUUACACGUGUUUCGACACAGAACGAUGAUCAAACUCUCUGUGAUUCUGUUCAUAACGGCAUCUGGCUUUAAAUACUAUUACUGUUUCAAAUACAACUGAAGAUAUUAGUUUUGUCAGAAUAUUUUCAAGUGAUGUUUGACAGGCUUGUGAUCCUGAAUGAUAGAUACUGCAAAUUAACAAAGAUUGCUUUGCUUACACUGGAUAUUUG